GCAGUUACAGUAGGUAGUUUGUCCCGUUGUUACAGCUUCUUCUGGACAUGCAACAAAUCUGUUGGUGUCUCUGAACAAUGAUAGUAUGUUUGCUUCAAUUUAGGUGUCUGGUACUGGUGUCUUGUUUUUCUACUUUAACAGUUUGUUAUUGUGGUCCAUGCAAAAUUCUAGUAGCAGGGAUUCUGUUUUUUCUGUAUUGUUUGGCAUAGCUUAUGCCUU
rnacentral:lncRNA from 1 species